ensembl:lncRNA
GACUGUGGGUAGACUUAACCAGUGGGUCAGAACAAAGAAGCACAAUGGAUGACUGUUCUAAACAAGAUGAAACACAAAAUAAAGAUUAAAGAUGGAGGCCAAAUGUCAUCCCUCCUACUGAGAGAGGUACACACGAGGUUGUGACUUAGUGGAAGAAUGAAAUUGGGCCUGCACCCUGAGUUGAGUUCUGGUCCCCACCUGGUCGCAGGCCUGCAAAAUGCCCCGUGGAAGAGCAAAGAAAGCCAGUGCUGCCCACAGUACUGUUCAAGGGGAUGAAAGACAUCAAGAAGCUGAAAUAACAUGUUUAGUUAACCUCCCCAAAUUUUCAAAUCAUAGUACAUCAUGAGAAACGCUGGGCUGGAUGAACAAUAAGCUGAAAUCAAGAUUGCCGGGAGAAAUACCAAUAACCUCAGAUAUGCAGAUGACACCACCCUUAUGGCCGAAAGUUAAGAGGAACUAAAGAGCCUCUUGAUGAAAGUGAAAGAGGAGAAUGAAAAAACUGGCUUAAAACUCAAGAUUCAGAAAACGAAGAUCAUGACAUCCAGUCCCAUCACUUCAUGGUAAAUAGAUAGGGAAACAGUGGAAACAGUGACAGACUUUAUUUUGGGGGGCUCCAAAAUCACUGCAGAUGAUGACUGCAGCCAUGAAAUUAAAAAACACUUGCUCCUUGGAAGAAAAGUUAUGACCAACCUAGACAGCAUAUUAAGAAACAGAGACAUUAUUUACCAAAAAAGAUCCAUCUAGUCAAAGCUAUGGUUUUUCCAGUAGUCAUGUACAGAUGUGAGAGCUGGACUACAAAGAAACCUGAGCGCCGAAGAAUUGAUGCUUUUGAACUGUGGUGUUGGAGAAGACUCUUGAGAGACCCUUGGACUGCAAGGAGAUUCAACCAGUCCAUCCUACAGGAAAUCAGUCCUGAAUAUUCAUUGGAAGGACUGAUGCUGAAGCUGAAACUUCAAUACUUUGGCCACCUGAUGCAAAGAACUGACUCAUUUGAAAAGACCCUGAUGCUGGGAAAGAUUGAGGGUGGGAGGAGAAGGGGACAGCAGAGGAUGAGAUGGUUGGAUGGCAUCACCAACUCAAUGGCCAUGAGUUUGGGUAAACUCUGGUAGUUGGUGAUGGACAGGGAGGUCUGGCUUGCUACUGUCCGUGGUGUUGCAGAGAGGCGGACAUGACUGAGCAACUGAACUGAACUGAACUGAACUGAACAGACCCGAGACAAGCAUCUUGGUGCUUAAAGAAUGGUGAACAAUGUGGUUCUAAAGGAAGAGGAAUGAAGUCCCUCCUCUCUGCAGGGGCCUUGGAACCUCUCCUCACUCCUUGAGAAGGUCAUUCGGUAGAUUCUUAACCACUGGACCACCAAGGAAGUCCUGAAAGUGAUUCUUGACUCACAGAAAGAACUCAGGAAAGAACGGCCACACUGUCUUUGCCUAAGAUGCCCAGACGACUGUAGGAAGAACCCCCUAUGGAAUGAAAAACAACUCCACCAUCACCAAGAACCCAUCAAAUGUUGACUAAAUAAAUGAUUUUCUUCUUUUACUAUGCAUGGUGUUCACCUGGGGUAAUUAUAGAAACACACAAUUGUCCAAACUCUGCCCCAGGUGUUCUGAUUCAAGGAGCCCAAGCUUAAGUAUGUGUAAAAAGUGUUUCGGGUGAUUCUAAUGAGUGGGCAGGUCUAGACUUCUUGGGCAGGCUCUAUGUUUUCCCAAGAAGAUCCAGAAUUAGUUUAGAAGAAUCUAAAAAGUAGAUUUGUUGUUUAGUGGUCUCCACUGAAACUAGAACUAUGUGAUUGUGCUGUAACUAAAUAAUUCUUUUAUCAUUAAUGCUGUGUGAAACUCUGGACCUCAGUCUCCUCAACUGUAUGAUAGAGGCUUCGAUUAUGUAUUUUCAAAGGUCUCUCCCAGUUUUGAUUUUCUAACAUAUUAUGACCCUGAAUUUGUUUAUCACUCAAAUUCCUGAAGAGGAUUACAGCUGGAGGAAUUGUGUAGGAAUUUGAAAAAGGCUGAAUAAAUAAAUAAAUAAUAAAUAACAGCACUCGGUAGAUCCAAAUCUUAAAGCUAACUCCCUGAAGAGGCUGGAUAAGAAUGCAGACUUAAUGGAGCUCCGUCUCUCGUGACCUUGGACAGAUUACCCAACUGCCUCAAUUUUCUUACCUGUAAAAUGGAGUCAGUAAUAGUACUGGCAUCACGAAAUUUUUCAGAUUAAAAGAGUUAAUCCAUGUGAAGUACUUUGAACACUGCUUGGCUACAAGUGCUCAAUAAAUAUUACCUGUUAUUAUUGUGAUUUCAAGGCUCCUUCCUUUUACUUCAGUUCAUUUAACUACAACCAAAAACACCUCUCUACCUUCAGGUUCUACUAUCCCAUUAGCUGAAUGAAAUUUGUAUCAAGGAGAAGAGCAAGCUCAACUAGUGUUGUGAAGGCAAGUCUGUUGCUGGAAUCCUGUGAGAAAAUCUUAAAGAGGGCAAAAUCUAGAUGUGUGAAUUUUCAUGCCCCCACAUGGGACUGCCAUAAGCUGUUUGCUCAAGAAAGAGAACAGUGUGGACUUCCCUGGUGGUCCAGUGGCUAAGACGCC